rnacentral:rRNA from 1 species
GCCAACGUUCAUAUCACGUUGAAUACACCAGUUCUCGUCCGAUCACUGAAGUUAAGCAACGUUGAGCGUGGAUAGUACUUGGAUGGGUGACCGCUUGGGAACAUCACGUAACGUUGGCG